GAUGAACGCUGGCGGCGUGCCUAAUACAUGCAAGUCGAGCGAACGGACGAGAAGCUUGCUUCUCUGAUGUUAGCGGCGGACGGGUGAGUAACACGUGGAUAACCUACCUAUAAGACUGGGAUAACUUCAGGAAACCGGAGCUAAUACCGGAUAAUAUUUUGAACCGCAUGGUUCAAAAGUAAAAGACGGUCUUGCUGUCACUUAUAGAUGGAUCCGCGCUGCAUUAGCUAGUUGGUAAGGUAACGGCUUACCAAGGCAACGAUGCAUAGCCGACCUGAGAGGGUGAUCGGCCACACUGGAACUGAGACACGGUCCAGACUACUACGGGAGGCAGCAGUAGGGAAUCUUCCGCAAUGGGCGAAAGCCUGACGGAGCAACGCCGCGUGAGUGAUGAAGGUCUUCGGAUCGUAAAACUCUGUUAUUAGGGAAGAACAUAUGUGUAAGUAACUGUGCACAUCUUGACGGUACCUAAUCAGAAAGCCACGGCUAACUACGUG
rnacentral:rRNA from 1 species